AACGCGAAGAACCUUACCAACCUUUGACAUGUCCAGUAUGGUUGUGAGAGAUCACGACCUUCGGUUCGGCCGGCUGGAACACAGGUGCUGCAUGGCUGUCGUCAGCUCGUGUCGUGAGAUGUUGGGUUAAGUCCCGCAACGAGCGCAACCCUCAUCUUCAGUUGCCAUCAUUUAGUUGGGCACUCUGAAGAAACCGCCGGUGACAAGCCGGAGGAAGGUGGGGAUGACGUCAAGUCCUCAUGGCCCUUACAGGUUGGGCUACACACGUACUACAAUGGUGGUGACAGUGGGUUGCCAAGUCGCAAGACGGAGCCAAUCCCCAAAAGCCAUCUCAGUUCAGAUUGCACUCUGCAACUCGAGUGCAUGAAGUUGGAAUCGCUAGUAAUCGCAGAUCAGCACGCUGCGGUGAAUACGUUCCCGGGCCUUGUACACACCGGAGUA
rnacentral:rRNA from 1 species